rnacentral:rRNA from 1 species
GACGAACGCUGGCGGCGUGCUUAACACAUGCAAGUCGAACGGAAAGGCCCUGCUUUUGUGGGGUGCUCGAGUGGCGAACGGGUGAGUAACACGUGAGUAACCUGCCCUUGACUUUGGGAUAACUUCAGGAAACUGGGGCUAAUACCGGAUAGGAGCUCCUGCUGCAUGGUGGGGGUUGGAAAGUUUCGGCGGUUGGGGAUGGACUCGCGGCUUAUCAGCUUGUUGGUGGGGUAGUGGCUUACCAAGGCUUUGACGGGUAGCCGGCCGGAGAGGGUGACCGGCCCCAUGGGGAAUGAGACCCGGCCAAGUCCCCUGGGGGGGGAGGGGGGGGGAAAUAGUGCAAAAGGGGGGGAGGUCUGAUGCAGCAACGCCGCGGGGGGGAUGGGGGCUUUGGGGUUGAAAACCGUUUUCGCCGGGGACGAAGGGGGGGGGGGGGUAAUGGGAAAAGAAGCACGGGCAAACUACG